rfam:Angiostrongylus cantonensis strain Taiwan genome assembly, scaffold: ACAC_contig0009551
AAAUCAUUGCCUCAGAAUAAGAGCGUCUGUCUUGUAAACAGAAGGACACUGGUUUGAUUCCAGCAUGAGGUA